CAUGACUUUGAUCUGCGUCCUCAUCUGGACUCUCCUCUGCUGCUGCUUCACAGAGUCCAGAGGCCAGGUCACAGUGACUCAGCCUGGAGCAGUGAGCUCUGCUCUGGGAGGCUCCGUCUCCAUCAAAUGUACGACCAGUCAGGAUGUUCAUGUUUGGAGCAACAACCACCUUUUAGCCUGGUACCAACAGAGAGAUGGAGAAACUCAUAAAGUCCUCGUUUACUAUGCUAGCACUCGAGAAUCAGGGAUUCCAGAUCGUUUUACAGGCAGUGGAUCAAACUCUGACUUCACUCUGACCAUCAGUGGAGUCCAGACUGAAGAUGCAGCAGUUUACUACUGUCUGAGUAAUCACUAUAUCAACAGUCAGUGGUUGUUCACACAGUGGAAAAGCGUCGUACAAAAACCUCCCUCAGUCAGACUGAAC